GAUGAACGCUGGCGGCGUGCCUAACACAUGCAAGUCGAACGGAAACAUAUUGAAACCUAGUGAUAUAUGUUUUAGUGGCGGACGGGUGAGUAACGCGUGGGUAACCUGCCUCAUACUGGGGGAUAACAGUUAGAAAUGACUGCUAAUACCGCAUAAGACCACAGAACCGCAUGGUUCAGGGGUAAAAACUCCGGUGGUAUGAGAUGGACCCGCGUCUGAUUAGCUAGUUGGUAGGGUAAUGGCCUACCAAGGCGACGAUCAGUAGCCGGCCUGAGAGGGUGAACGGCCACAUUGGGACUGAGACACGGCCCAAACUCCUACGGGAGGCAGCAGUGGGGAAUAUUGCACAAUGGGGGAAACCCUGAUGCAGCGACGCCGCGUGAGUGAAGAAGUAUUUCGGUAUGUAAAGCUCUAUCAGCAGGGAAGAAAAUGACGGUACCUGACUAAGAAGCACCGGCUAAAUACGUGCCAGCCGCCGCGGUAAUAC
rnacentral:rRNA from 1 species